rnacentral:misc_RNA from 1 species
CAGAGUUGCAAAACUCCCAACCAUUGUGAACCUACCUCACCGUUGCUUCGGCGGGUGGCCCCGGGCAACCCGGAGCCGCGCCGGCCCCGCUCCCGGGGCCCGGCAAACCCGUCAGAAGACCGAAACUCUUCGUCAUCAGUGGCCUCUCUGAGUAACUUAUACAAUAAGUCA